CUGACAGUUUGAUGCUGAUUGCCAUCCCAUUUCACCUCUUGUUGAAAGAAGCACUUAUUUUGACAUUCGGCGGUGCAUUUUUAUAAUCGAGGAAGAGAGAAUAUUCGUUGGUUGCGAGAUACAGAAGAAUAAGAAGAACAUACAGAAGAAGAAGAGAGAAUAUUUCCACAGCUCCAUGAGCUCUUUUCACGCUUGGCGAAAGCAUGAUAUAGUGAAAUGUAUCAAGGGAUGACACAGAGACCUCUGGUUCUGAGCAAGACAGUGAGCCAGAGCUGCCAGGAGAUGUCAUCGAGCCCCCCCAACUGCAUCAAGCACCAGAUAUGCUGUUCCAAAAGGACCCAAUGACAUUUCAAGAUCCAGAGAAGAAGGUCCUGUACAGCUGUGUUUGAAAAUAUUUCCCAGUACUCAGCUUGGUACUAGGAAAAGGGCUUUCAACAGCUCCUGGUAUAAGGACAAUUCAUGACUUGAAUAUUCUGUAAAUCAAGAUUUGACUUAUUGUUUGCCUGUAGGCAUUUUUCUCUGCCCAAUACACCUGAAUCUGCCUUCACAUCACAGUCAGGUUUUUGUAACUGGAAAAAAGGCGCUGUUUAAAGAUUCUGGGUUUAAGCUCUAUUCCAAGGCAGAGCAUCAUAUCAAUGCUAUGUAUGCUUGGAAUCAGCAUAAAAGGGCUAUUGACAGCAACUCAUCAAUGUUAGAUGUCAUAAAUGAGGACCGGAAAAGAAAGUGGAGGAAAACUGUACUUACAUUAAAACAAUUGCAGAUGUGCUCCUAUUAACUGCCACUGAAAAUAUAGCACAGAGGUCAUCGAGAGUCUGAUGACUCUCACAACAAGGGUCAUUUUUGGACAAUCUUAGAAGAAAUAGCAAAGCAUGACACUCUCAUAGAGAAAAGGAUGAAUGCAUGUGGAAAUGCUAAGUACACAAGCCACCAAAUCCAGAACGAAGUUCUUGAGGGCUUAGCUGAGAUGGUACAAAGUGAAAUAAUAAGAGAAGUAAAAGAAAGUGAAGUUUUUCAUGUAAUUGCAGAUGAAACCAAAGAUUUAAAGAAAAAAUAACAAAAGUCUUUAGUUGUGAGGUACUAUGACAACGGGGCCAUCCACAAAAGCUUUUUACACUUUCAGUCAGCUAAAAGCUUAGAUGCAGCAGGUCUCACAAAAAUUAUAAUUGAUUGCCUUGAAAAACAUGUUCUGGACUACAGAAAUAAUCUUGUGGGGCAAGGCUAUGACGGUGCAUCCGUCAUGAGCGGAAAGCAUUCUGGUGUGUCUGCAUGGAUUAAAAACAGUGCAAGAUUUGCAUUUUAUGUGCACUGUAAUGCACAUUGUUUGAAUUUGGUUCUUGUCGAUGCUGUAAAAUCAGUGCCUGAGGCAGUUCUGAGAGUGCUACAGGAUAUCACACUUGAAAAUAGUGGUGAUAGAUCAGUUAUAUUUACAUUUCAUAGGGCUUUUGGUUACCUUUUGUAAAGUGCUUGGUGAUACCAAAUGUCUUUCGGACAUGCUCCAGUCAAGCUCUCUUGACCUAGCAAGGGCUGUGGAUCUAGUAGGUGCCCUUACAGACACAUUACAGGACUUCAGAAGUGAGGGUUACUUUGGAGAACUAUGGACAGAGGUUGAAGAGAUUUCAGAGCACUGCAAAAUAAGUGUACAAACAGUGUGUAAAAGACAGCCUAAAACAAGCUUAAGAUUUCACGACUCAUUGAUGAUGAGCACUGUAGGACAGAAAAUUUGUGAUCAAAGUGAUGGUGAGAGCUUCCAAAGAGAUAUCUUUUAUCAGGUGCUUGACAGUCUCACAGCUGAGCUGCAGAGGCGUUUUUCAAAGAAGAAUUGUGUGAUAAUGCAAGGGGUCCAGUCUCUCAACCCAAAGAGUACAACAUUCUUGAAUGAGGAGCCUCUAUUUGCCUUUGCUCAGACCUUUGAGUCAGAUUUAGAGGACCUCAAACAUGAGGUUCACCAAACCAAGUGGCUUCUUGAUAGGCAUCUUGAUAGGAGAGAGAAAAGUGGAAGGGACAGACCGUCUACUCUACUUGAAAGAGGUCUUUCAUGAGCUAUUUCGACUUAAGAUUUCUGUUGUUACACCAGUCAGUAGUGCUUCUUGCGAGAGAAGCUUCUCAGCUUUAAAACUGAUUAAAACCCACCUCAGGACAACAAUGGUUGAUGACAGGUUAAAUCACCUCGGAAUUCUCAGUGUUGAGUCAAGGAGGGUACGCUCCCUCAACAUGGAUGAGUUUGUGAAACAUUUUGCCAGUUCUCAACAGAACCGCAGAAUUAUGCUGUUUUAAAUAUACCUAGGAAAAUUUGGUACUUAGGCAGUCCCUCUGGUCAGGAUUAAAACCUGCACUGUGUAUUAGCUAGUAUACUGACAUUCUAAAAUGGUCAAUCCAAGGCGUAUCAUGUCACACAGAUUUAAUUUGGUCUUGAUUAGGCCAAUUCCAAAACUUUUCUUUGUUAUUAGUUAACAUAGUAUAUAUGUGCAUAAAUAUGAUACUGUACAUUUGUAAUAUUGAUGGGCAACAAAAUUAUUUUAAUUUUUCAAGUCCAUUUCUUGAUACCUGGUAUGUCAAAUUGCAGUGUGUUUUUUUGUAAAUUUACAUUUUUGUAAAUAAACUAUGCAAUUUAUGUAACACACAAAUGCUGUCUUAU